AAGCACGGCUUCGCAGUGCGCACACGGGGAGCUUGUUCCCAGAGGUGCUACGAGGAAAGUCCCCGUGCCUUGGUGUAGAGAGUGCGAGUGGAAUACCGCAGGGCUCGUGCCAGACCUCCAGUGGUAAUGCUUCUCGCGGAGCCUUGGUGGCUGGCUCGGGCCCUUCGCAUCAGCACAGACAUGCCGUGAG
rnacentral:RNase_MRP_RNA from 14 species